rnacentral:rRNA from 1 species
UACGUAGGGAGCAAGCGUUGUCCGGAAUCAUUGGGCGUAAAGAGCGCGUAGGUGGCUUUAUAAGUCCGUUGUGAAAGUCAAAGGCUCAACCUUUGAAAGCCGAUGGAUACUGUCAAGCUCGAGUCCGGAAGAGGAGUGUGGAAUUCCUGGUGUAGCGGUGAAAUGCGCAGAUAUCAGGAGGAACACCAAUGGCGAAGGCAGCACUCUGGGACGUGACUGACGCUGAGACGCGAAAGCGUGGGGAGCAAACAGG